rnacentral:rRNA from 1 species
GGGUUGUGAGGUUAAGCGACUAAGCGUACACGGUGGAUGCCCUGGCAGUCAGAGGCGAUGAAGGACGUGCUAAUCUGCGAUAAGCGUCGGUAAGGUGAUAUGAACCGUUAUAACCGGCGAUUUCCGAAUGGGGAAACCCAGUGUGUUUCGACACACUAUCAUUAACUGAAUCCAUAGGUUAAUGAGGCGAACCGGGGGAACUGAAACAUCUAAGUACCCCGAGGAAA